rnacentral:rRNA from 1 species
UACAGAGGGUGCGAGCGUUAAUCGGAAUUACUGGGCGUAAAGCGCGCGUAGGCGGCUUAUUAAGUCAGAUGUGAAAUCCCCGGGCUCAACCUGGGAACUGCAUCUGAUACUGGUAAGCUAGAGUUUUGGAGAGGGAAGUAGAAUUUCAGGUGUAGCGGUGAAAUGCAUAGAGAUCUGAAGGAAUACCAGUGGCGAAGGCGACUUCCUGGCCAAAAACUGACGCUGAGGUGCGAAAGCGUGGGUAGCAAACGGGAUUAGAAACCCUAGUAGUCC